CUCGGUGCAGGCGGCCGCGGGAAUACCGGGGGUGCAAGCGUUAAUCGGAAUUACUGGGCGUAAAGCGCGCGUAGGUGGUUCGUUAAGUUGGAUGUGAAAUCCCCGGGCUCAACCUGGGAACUGCAUCUAAAACUGGCGAGCUAGAGUAUGGUAGAGGGUGGUGGAAUUUCCUGUGUAGCGGUGAAAUGCGUAGAUAUAGGAAGGAACACCAGUGGCGAAGGCGACCACCUGGACUGAUACUGACACUGAGGUGCGAAAGCGUGGGGAGCAAACAGGAUUAGAUACCCCGUAGUCAAAGGGC
rnacentral:rRNA from 1 species